rnacentral:rRNA from 1 species
UGAGUAACACGUAGGUGACCUACCUUUUAGUGGGGGACAACCCUAGGAAACUGGGGCUAAUACCGCAUACGCUAGACAAAUUUGAAAAUAGUCUAGGAAAGGCUUCGGCCGCUAGAAGAAGGGCUUGCGGGCCAUUAGCUUGAUGGUGGGGUAACGGCCUACCAUGGCAACGAUGGCUAGCUGGUCUGAGAGGAUGAUCAGCCACACUGGAACUGAGACACGGUCCAGACUCC